UAAUUAUUCAGGUGAUUUCGGAGGAUUUCAAACCGCUGGUGUUGUGCAGCCACUCCAAAAAGAAUUUCAAGAACUUUUUCGUAUUUGGCAACUACAGCUACGAUUUAUGCAAUGGUGUAUAGUUCAACAGAUUUUAUCAUAAUGGUUUAUCUUUGAAGAGCAACAAUAUCCAUAACAGGCGGUGUGACAACAAAUCCUUCAAUGCCUCGAAGAGAAGGUUUGGGAUGGUCAGAUGGCAAUGUGAAACGUAUUCUUUGCAAUAAACUUGCCAUAAAAAGGAAAACUGUAUUUUUCGCUAAAGUCUCGCCUAGACAUUUUCUUCGCCCUAUGUAAAAUAAAUGCAUAGCUAUUUUAUUGUAAUUCUUAUAUUAAAAUGAUUUUUCUGCCUCUUAA